UGGGGAAUAUUGGACAAUGGGCGAAAGCCUGAUCCAGCCAUGCCGCGUGUGUGAAGAAGGUCUUCGGAUUGUAAAGCACUUUAAGUUGGGAGGAAGGGCAGUAAGCGAAUACCUUGCUGUUUUGACGUUACCGACAGAAUAAGCACCGGCUAACUCUGUGCCAGCAGCCGCGGUAAUACAGAGGGUGCAAGCGUUAAUCGGAAUUACUGGGCGUAAAGCGCGCGUAGGUGGUUCGUUAAGUUGAAUGUGAAAGCCCCGGGCUCAACCUGGGAACUGCAUCCAAAACUGGCGAGCUAGAGUAGGGCAGAGGGUGGUGGAAUUUCCUGUGUAGCGGUGAAAUGCGUGGAUAUAGGAAGGAACACCAGUGGAGAAGGCGACCACCUGGGCUCAUACUGACACUGAGGUGCGAAAGCGUGGGGAGCAAACAGG
rnacentral:rRNA from 1 species